AUUGAACGCUGGCGGCAGGCCUAACACAUGCAAGUCGGACGAGUGGCGGACGGGUGAGUAAUGUCUCGGAAACUGCCGGGUAGAGGGGGAUAACUGCUGGAAACGAUAGCUAAUACCGCAUACCAUCGGAUCGGCCGAUGUGGGAUUAGCUGGUUGGUGGGGUAAAGGCUCACCAAGGCGACGAUCCGUAGCGGGUCUGAGAGGAUGACCCGCCACACUGGAACUGAGACACGGCCCAGACUCCUACGGGAGGCAGCAGUGGGGAAUUUUGGACAAUGGGCGCAAGCCUGAUCCAGCCAUGCCGCGUGUCUGAAGAAGGCCUUCGGGUUGUAAAGGACUUUUAGCAGGGAGGCGGUACCUGAAGAAGAAGCACCGGCUAACUCCGUGCCAGCCGCCGCGGUAAUAC
rnacentral:rRNA from 1 species